rnacentral:rRNA from 1 species
UAAUACGAGGGGUGCUAGCGUUGUCCGGAAUUACUGGGCGUAAAGGGUCCGUAGGCGUUUUGCUAAGUUGAUUGUUAAAUCCAUCGGCUCAACCGAUGACCUGCAAUCAAAACUGGCAGAAUAGAGUUCGAGAGGGGAAAGUAGAAUUCCUGGCGUAGCGGUGACAUGCGUAGAUAUCAGGAGGAAUACCGAUGGCGAAGGCAGCUUUCUGGCUCGAUACUGACGCUGAGGGACGAAAGCGGGGGGAGCGAACAGGAUUAGAUACCCUGGUAGUCCACGCCGUAAACGAUGAGUACUUGAUGUCGGAGGAUUCGACCCCUUCGGUGUCGUAGCUAACGCGAUAAGUACUCCGCCUGGGGACUACGACCGCAAGGUUG